rnacentral:rRNA from 1 species
UGAAACCUCCGGGUGGAUCGAAUUUAUGUAAUUUAGUACCAAGAAAAGUUUUGGUGUUAUGAUUUAAAGCAUCUGUACCGUAAACCGACACAGGUGGGUGAGGCGAGAAGCCUAAGGUGUACGAGAUAACCCUUUAUUCAGGAACUCGGCAAAUAAGCGGGCGUAACUUCGGGAUAAGCCCUCCCGUUCAGAGCGCAAGCUUUUGAGCGGGCGCAGUGAAAGACUCCAAACGACUGUUUACCAAAAACACAGGUCUCUGCUUAAGUCGUAAGACUAUAUAUAGAGGCUGAUGCCUGGCCAGUGUCAGAACGUUAAGGUGAGAAGUGCAAGCUUUGAUCCUAAGCGCUGAUGAACGCCGGCGAUAACUAUAAUCGUCCUAAGGUAGCGAAAUUCCUUGUCGGGUGAGUUCCGACCUGCACGAAUGGCAUAACGAUUUGGAGACUGUCUUAAUAAGGGGCUCGGCGAAAUUGCAGUGGCGGUAAAGAUGCCGCCUAUUCACAGUUAGACGAAAAGACCCCGUGAAGCUUUACUAUAACUUGAUAUUGGUAUAUGAAUUGUUCAUGUUCAGUAUAGGUGGGAGUCCUGACGCAAGUCGGGACGUCAGUGAAAUACCACCCUUGGCAUUUUAUAUAUCUAACUCCCCGAUUAAUCGGGGAAGACAGUAUCUGGCGGGUAGUUUGAGUGGGGCGCUCGCCUCCUAAAAAGUAACGGAGGCGUUUAAAGGUUGGCUAACUUCGGAUGGAAAUCGAAGUCAUAGGGCAAACCCAUAAGCCAGCUUUACUGCAAGACCUACAAGUCGCGCAGUUGCGAAAGCAUAAGUUAGUGAACCGACCACCUCAUAUAGGAGAGUGGAAGAUCAACGAAUAAAAGCUACUCCGGGGAUAACAGGCUAGUCGCGCCCAAGCGUCCAUAGCGACGGCGCGGUUCGGCACCUCGAUGUCGGCCCAUCGCAUCCUGGGGGUGAACAAGCUCCCAAGGGUUUGGCUGUUCGCCAAUUAAAGCGGUACGCGAGCUGGGUUCAAAACGUCGUAAGACAGUUUGGUCUCCUAUCUACUGUGAGCGUAUUAAAUCUUGAAGGACCCCUUCUCUAGUACGAGAGGACCGAGAAGGACGAACCUCUGGUGCACCAGUUGUCAUGUCAAUGGCAUCGCUGGGUAGCUAAGUUCGGGUUAGAUAAGCGCUGAAAGCAUAUAAGCGCGAAGCUGUUCCUAAGAUUAGGAUUUUAUGGCCACCUGGCAGACUACCAGGUUGAUAGGUAAUCGGGUGUAAGUCUCGUAAGAGAUUCAGCCUAGAUUGUACUAAUUGGCCUUUUACGGAUUCCU